GGGUCAGUGGGUUGGUCGUGCCACCGGUACGUACUGGUCUCACUGAUUCCUCCUUCCUGAAGAACCGUAAUGCCAUUAAUUUGGUGUUGCGGGGAAACAGGACUGUUACUUUGAAAAAAUUAGGGUGUUUAAAGCAAGCUAACGCUUGAAUACAUUAGCAUGGAAUAAUGAAAUAGGACGAUCGAUCCUAUUUUGUUGGUUUCUAGGAUUGACGUA
rnacentral:rRNA from 1 species